GACGAACGCUAGCGACAGGCUUAACACAUGCAAGUCGAGGGGCAGCGGGGAAGGAAGCUUGCUUUCUUCUGCCGGCGACCGGCGCACGGGUGAGUAACACGUAUGCAACCUGCCCUUUGCAGGGGGAUAAUCGGAAGAAAUUCCGUCUAAUACCGCAUAAUACUUCUGAGGGACAUCCCUUAGGAUUCAAAGGAAGCAAUUCCGGCAAAGGAUGGGCAUGCGGCGCAUUAGCUUGUUGGCGGGGUAACGGCCCACCAAGGCAACGAUGCGUAGGGGUUCUGAGAGGAAGGCCCCCCACACUGGUACUGAGACACGGACCAGACUCCUACGGGAGGCAGCAGUGAGGAAUAUUGGUCAAUGGGCGAGAGCCUGAACCAGCCAAGUCGCGUGAGGGAAGACGGUCCUAUGGAUUGUAAACCUCUUUUGUCGGGGAGCAAGGUAGAGGGCGUGUCCCCUACCGGAGAGUACCCGAAGAAAAAGCAUCGGCUAACUCCGUGCCAGCAGCCGCGGUAAUACGGAGGAUGCGAGCGUUAUCCGGAUUUAUUGGGUUUAAAGGGUGCGUAGGCGGAAUGCUAAGUCAGCGGUAAAAUUGAGAGGCUCAACCUCUUCCCGCCGUUGAAACUGGUGUUCUUGAGUGGGCGAGAAGUAUGCGGAAUGCGUGGUGUAGCGGUGAAAUGCAUAGAUAUCACGCAGAACUCCGAUUGCGAAGGCAGCAUACCGGCGCCCAACUGACGCUGAGGCACGAAAGCGUGGGGAUCGAACAGGAUUAGAUACCCUGGUAGUCCACGCAGUAAACGAUGAAUACUAAUUGUUCGGUACUUCGGUACUGAGUGAUACAGCGAAAGCGUUAAGUAUUCCACCUGGGGAGUACGCCGGCAACGGUGAAACUCAAAGGAAUUGACGGGGGCCCGCACAAGCGGAGGAACAUGUGGUUUAAUUCGAUGAUACGCGAGGAACCUUACCCGGGCUCAAACGUUGAUGGACAGACCGAGAAAUCGGUUCUUCCUUCGGGACUGUCAACGAGGUGCUGCAUGGUUGUCGUCAGCUCGUGCCGUGAGGUGUCGGCUUAAGUGCCAUAACGAGCGCAACCCCCAUCGACAGUUGCUAACAGGUAAAGCUGAGGACUCUGUCGAGACUGCCGGCGCAAGCUGUGAGGAAGGCGGGGAUGACGUCAAAUCAGCACGGCCCUUACGUCCGGGGCGACACACGUGUUACAAUGGCAGGUACAGCGGGAAGCCAUAUGGCGACAUAGAGCAGAACCCGAAAACCUGUCUCAGUUCGGAUUGGAGUCUGCAACCCGACUCCAUGAAGCUGGAUUCGCUAGUAAUCGCGCAUCAGCCACGGCGCGGUGAAUACGUUCCCGGGCC
rnacentral:rRNA from 1 species